GGCCGCCUGGCGAAAUGGCAUCGCGUCUGACUACGAUGUAGUGUAAUCAGGAGAUUGCAGGUUCGACCCCUGCGGUGGUCA
rnacentral:tRNA from 1 species